UACGUAGGGUGCAAGCGUUGUCCGGAAUUAUUGGGCGUAAAGAGCUCGUAGGCGGUUUGUCGCGUCUGCCGUGAAAGUCCGGGGCUCAACCCCGGAUCUGCGGUGGGUACGGGCAGACUAGAGUGUGGUAGGGGAGACUGGAAUUCCUGGUGUAGCGGUGAAAUGCGCAGAUAUCAGGAGGAACACCGAUGGCGAAGGCAGGUCUCUGGGCCAUAACUGACGCUGAGAAGCGAAAGCAUGGGGAGCGAACAGG
rnacentral:rRNA from 1 species